UGUUACGCCAAAUGACCUGUAUUCCAAUCGGCUUCAUGCCAUUUGGCCAUAUGCCAAACGACAUCAGGCCAAAUGACUCACCACCAAUUUUGAGAAUGUACACGCAGAGAAUUCACAACGAUUCAAAACAAUAAUUGUUCUUGUUGUUUGCAAUAAGCUUUUUCAAUUUGUUGUAAAUCAACAAAUUGUACUGAUUUAACAAUGACUUUUAUCAGAACAAAACAAAAAUAUUGUUGAAUUUACUGGCAGCAUUUCCAAUUUAAUUUUUUUUGAAACAACAAAAUAAAAUAUUUAUUUCAAAAUAUAGACUGAUUUGUUUCCGCCACUUUUAUUUUUAAUUUAAAUGAAAAUUUUAUUCAGUGUGUAUGGCAGCUUACGACCCGCCAUUUUAUUUGACAGAAACAGAGUUGAAGUAAAAAUGUCCGUCAAGAGUUAUUGAAGAACUGUCUGUGGAGGAAAUAUUCCAUGUAAUAAAACUGCGCAACUGAUUCGGAAUGACCGAAAUCGUUAUUGGAACUUUUCUUGUCAACUCCUACAGCAAUACAGCCGCGAGAAAUCGAGCUGCCGAUUCCACCCCGUCGCUUGCGGAGCGAACCAAGUUUAUUCAUUAAGAAGACAUUGAGAUAGUCGCGCAAGUACUAAUGCCAUUUUUAAUCUCCAAUCAUUUUGGUAAAAUAUAAGGGUCUACCAAAAGUCCAAGAAAUUCCAGCAAAUAGCGGCAGCUCUGAAUCACGUGGGAUUCAUGAACGGCCUCCUAUUUUUUGUAAUGUUCUGCAGGCAGAUUAAAUUCUUACGUAAAUUGUUGGAUAUAUGAUGAAAACGAAAAUAUAAGGUAUUCAAAGUUG